rnacentral:ncRNA from 1 species
GCUAAGGGGUGCACGUCCUGUUGGCGUGCUGAGAUCAUACCCUCUGAACCUGUACCGGACAAUGCCGGCGAAGGGAUAGCG